rnacentral:rRNA from 1 species
GUGCCAGCCGCCGCGGUAAUACAGAGGUCCCAAGCGUUGUUCGGAUUCAUUGGGCGUAAAGGGUGCGUAGGCGGUGGGGUAAGUUGGAUGUGAAAUCUUGAGGCUUAACCUCAAAAUUGCAUUCAAUACUGCUCCGCUCGAGCGCUGUAGAGGAGAUUGGAAUUUACGGUGUAGCAGUGAAAUGCGUAGAUAUCGUAAGGAACGCCAGUGGCGAAAGCGAAUCUCUGGGCAGCAGCUGACGCUGAGGCACGAAGGCCAGGGGAGCAAACGGGAUUAGAAACCCGAGUAGUCC